UCCAGGGUAGCCUAGUUGACAUGGCAUCUGCCUAGUUGACAUGGCAUCUGCCCGGUAAGCGGAACAGUGUGGGUUCGAUUCCCAUCCCUGGAC